GAUGCGACCUCAGCUCAGGCGGGGCUACCCGCUGAGUUUAAGCAUAUCAAUAAGCGGAGGAAAAAAACUAACANGGAUUCCCUAG
rnacentral:rRNA from 1 species